rnacentral:rRNA from 1 species
UUUAAAAAUAAUUUGAUUUAAUUUUUUAAGAAUUUUAAAUAAUUUAUUUAAAUUAGUUGUAAAAUUUAUUAAUAUUUUUUAAAUAAUUUAAAUUUGAAAUAAUUAAUCUAAACUGGGGUUAGAUGCCCACUAUAAGUUUAUUAAAUUAAUAUAGGUAUUAAAGGCGUAUACCCAAAACCUAAAAAACAUGGCAGUAUUUUACUCCCUGCAGAGGAAUUUGGGUAUUAAAUGAUAAUCCUCAUAAAUUUUUCUUUAUUUUUUUUUAUGUGUGGUUGUUUAAAUAAGUAUAAAAAUAAUAAAUUAUAAUUCAGAUUAUAUGUAAAAAUAAUUGAGCAUACUUUAAUUACAAAUAAAAAAUUUUUAGAGGAUUUGCGUGUAAAAUAGUAAUAAACUUUUGAAGAGGUUAUAAAAUGUGUUCAUAUUGUCCGUCACUCUCUGAGAA